rnacentral:lncRNA from 1 species
GGUCACUAAGUUUUCCAGAGCUUAAUCUUAUAGGGUUAUUUUAAAGCUGCUUGGUAAGCUGGAACUUCAGGUGGGCAUCAUAAACUCAAGUCCAUACUUAAAAUGUCCAGGAGUUCCUGCUGUGGCUCAGUGGUAAUGAACCCAACUAGUAUCCAUGAAGAUGCGGGUUCUAUCCCUGGCCCCACUCAGGGGGUUAAGGAUUCAGUGACAUUGCUAUGAGCUGAGGUGUAGGUCGCAGACGCAGUGUAGGUCACAGACACGGCUUGGAUCUGGCAUUGCUGUGGCUGUGGUGUAGGCUGGUAGCUGCAGUUCCAAUUCAACCCCCAGCCUGGGAACUUCCAUAUGGCGAGGGUGCAGCCCUAAAAAGCAAGCAAACAAACAAGAAUGUCCAGACUCUGGGUGUGAACAGGGUUAUCACACUGUAAAAUGCCUAUCCUAGGCUGCAACUCAGAAAAACAAAAGCUGCUUUUCAAAAAGUUGUUUUUCUCAUCACAAGGGGCAAGAAGAUGAAACUGUUAGCUAUAAGAGAAGGUCUGCCUGACCAGACCUGCAAGUUUGACGGCAAGUGGAUGCAGCCACAGCCAACUGGGGGUGGGGUGGUCAGGGCAUGGCCAGAGGCAUAAACACUACCUUCCAACCCUCUCAGCUCAACCUGCAAAAGCCAGAGGGCAAGGGAGCCGGAGCUGAUUGAGGCAGCCUGCAGAGGUCAGCUUCCCAAACAGAGCAGAGCAAGGUUGGACCCAAAGAAGGUACAGAGGCUAUCUCACACAGGUAGCAGGCUGACACAUUUAUUUAAACAGUUCUGUGGGAGUUCCUGUUGUGGCUUAGUAGGCCAAGAACCUAACUAGUAUCAGUGAGGAUGAGGGUUCGAUUCCUGGCCUCACUCAGUGGGUUAAAGAUCUGGCGUUGCUAAGAGCUGUGGUGUAGGUUGCAGACUUGGCUCAGAUUCUGAGUUGCUGUGGCUGUGGCCAAGGUCCAGCUGCAGCUCUGAUUCAACCCUAGCCUGGAAACUUCCAUAUGCUAUAGGUGUGGGAAAAAAAAAAAAAAUGGAGUUCCCUUCGUGGCGCAGUGGUUAACGAAUCCGACUAGGAACCAUGAGGUUGCAGGGAUCGAACCCGAAACCUCAUGGUUCUUAGAUUUGUUAACCACUGAGCCACGACGGGAACUCCUGCUCUCUUGUUUCUUUAACUGUAAAUAUUCCAGCUAAUUUGACUGAGGCAUGAUUAAUGAUCCUUUAAACUUUCAGGUGUUAUUCAUUCCCUUGAAUCUUUGAAGUUGGCUCUUGGCAAAACUGUAAAUGAAAGGUUUGUUUUCUAGGCCCAUCUGCAUGCUUUUUAGAUCUUUUUGGUUCCCUGCUAGCAAUAGCAACUUUAGCCCCAGAGUUCUCUCACCAUGGGAGCAAUGGGCUCGCCAAUCCCAACCUGCUCUCUAAGCCUGUGCCUGCAUUCAAUGGGCAAUUAAAACUCAAUUAUACAGUUCUACUGUUUUCCUCAACAUAAAAGCAAUACAUGCUCAUGUUGUCCAACUUGAGAAUACAGAAAAGCAAAAGAAAAUAAAAAUCUGUUAUAAUCUUGUUAUUCAAAAUCAGAUGCCACUGUUCCUUGUUCCUCUCAAAAGUGUUGUUGGCACUUUUAACGCCACUCAUCUGUGCAUAGUCCCUUUCCUCCCCGACCCUGCUCUGCCUUCCAAGUUCACUCUGUGAGGCAGAGGUAAUGACUGAAUAAGUAAACACUUGAAAGUAUAUUACCUUGAGACCUUAGGCACCUGUUGAGGAAAAAAUACAUAAAUAGUACAUAAUAAAACCAAUUGGGACAUCUGAGGUUGGCUAGUUUACAGUGGAAUUCAUUGGCUCAUAGGACCUGAAUGUAUAGAGGUAGGAUGGGCUGCAGGUGUGGUUUGAUCUAGAGAUUGAAAGAGUCAAAAAGGAAAUGGUUUCUUUCUAACCCCUCUCUCUGCUUUCUCCACAAUGUUCAUCUCUUCCUAAGGUAAGUGCUUCUUGCAGUCAAAAUGGCAGCCUUAUCAGCAGUUUCUAGCACUACUUACUGCCUGGCUCCUGUCUAACAGGAUAUGAGAGCAUCUGUCUGUGACCCAUAAAUUCCUGGGAUCCCUUUUGAUUGGAUCAGCCUGGUUCCUAUGACCACCCCCGAACCAACCCUAGUGGCAAGGAAGAUGAGACAAUUAUGCAUAGUUGAGACUAGUAGGCCUCAAACUCUAGUCUCAGGACUGCUCAUAAAAAUUAAUGAGGAGCCCACAGAAUCUUUUUGAUGGAGAUUUUUAUCUAUUGAUACUUGCCAAAUUAGAAAUUAAAUUCAGGAAUUCCCAUCGUGGCGCAGCGAAAACGAAUCUGACUAGGAACUAUGAGGUUGCAGGUUUGAUCCCUGGCCUCAUUCAGUGGGUUAAGGAUCUGGUAUUGCUGCGAGCUGUGGUGUAGGCUGGCAGCUGUAGCUCCAAUUCAACCCCUAGCCUGGGAACCUCCAUAUGCCGAAAGUGCGGCCCUAAAAAAAAAAAAGCAAAAACAAAAGAAACCUCCCAACAGACAAAAGUCCAGGAACAGACAGCUUCAUGAGUGAAUUCCACCAAACAUUUCAAGAAAGGUUAACCCUACCUUUCUCAAACUAUUCCAGAAAACAGCAGAGGAAGGAACAUGUCUGAAUACAUUCUGUGAGGCCAGUAUCACCCACCCUGAUACUAAGACCAGAUAAAGAUAGCACCCAAAAAAGAAAAUUACAGACUAACAUCACUGAUGCAAAAAUCAACAAAAUAUUAGCAAACAAAAUUCAAAUCCUACAUUAAUCCCACAUUAAAACGAUCAUACAUUAUGACUAAAUGGGACUUAUCCCAAGGAUGCAAGGAUGGUUCAGUAUCCACAAAUCAACCAAAGUGACACAGAUUAACAAACUAAAGACUGAAAUAGGAGCAUCUCAAUAGAUACAGAAUAAACUUUUGACAAAAGUCAACAUCCAUUUUUGAUGAAAAACUCUCAAUACAGGGGACCAUGCUGCAACAUAUAAAGACCAUGUAUGACAGGCCCGCAGCCAGUAUCAUACUUAAUGGCAAAAGCUGAAAGCAUUUUCUCUAAGAAGGAAGCAUUUUCUCACAGGAAGAAGACAACGAUGCCCACUCUUACCACUUUUAUUCAGCAUAGUGUUGGAAAUCAUAGCCACAGCAAUCAGACAAGAAGAAAUGAAAGAAAUCCCAAUUAGAAAAGAAGUAAAACUGUCACUGUUUUUAGAUGACAUGAUACUAUACAUAGAAAAUCCUAAAGAUGUUACCAAAAAAAAAAAA